ACCGGACUGGGAAAUGUUCCGGUCAGCCUCAGAGAAUAAUAUCGACCUACACGCUGACUCGAUUGAGUGAAUUUAUAAGGAAGUGCGUUGAAAAUGUUGUACCCACUGUGACUAUUAAAGCCUACACUAACCAGAAAUCGUGGAUGGAUGGCGGCAUUCGCGCAAAACUGAAAGCGCAAACCACCGCAUUUAACUAUGGAAAGAGGUCUGGGAAUAAGGCUGAAUAUAAACAGUGUAGUUAUUCCCUCGGCAAGGCAAUCAAACAAGCGAAAUUCCGGUUCAGGGACAAAGUGGUGUCGCAAUUAAACGGCUCAGACACGAGACGCAUGUGGCAGGGUCUACAGGAAAUCACGGACUACAAAAAGAAUAACAGCCACGUCACGGACACCGACAUAAUGCUUCCAGGCAAACUAAACACCUUCUUUGCCCACUUUGAGGAUAAUACAGUGCCACUGUUGCGGCCCUCUAACAACAACUGUACCACCCCCCCUCUCCUUCUCCGUGGCCGACGUCUUCCGAGUGGCGCAGCGGUCUAAGGCACUGCAUUUCAGUGCAAGAGGCAUCACUACAGUCCCUGGUUCGAUUCCAGGCUGUAUCACAUCUGGCUGUGAUUGGGAGUCCCAUAGGGCGGGGCAUAAUUGGCCCAGCGACUUCUGGGUUUGGCCGGGGUAGGCUGUCAUUGUAAAUAAAAAUGUAUUCUUAGCUG
rnacentral:lncRNA from 1 species